rnacentral:rRNA from 1 species
GACGAACGCUGGCGGCGUGCCUAAUACAUGCAAGUCGAGCGGAUUGAUUCGGAGCUUGCUCCGAUGAUGUCAGCGGCGGACGGGUGAGUAACACGUGGGUAACCUGCCUAGCAGACUGGGAUAACGCUUGGAAACGAGUGCUAAUACCGGAUAAUCUCUUGGAUCGCAUGGUCUGAGAGUAAAAGGAGCUUUUGCUUCACUGCUAGAUGGACCCGCGGCGCAUUAGCUAGUUGGUGAGGUAAUGGCUCACCAAGGCGACGAUGCGUAGCCGACCUGAGAGGGUACCGGCCACACUGGGACUGAGACACGGCCCAGACUCCUACGGGAGCAGCAGUAGGGAAUCUUCCGCAAUGGGCGCAAGCCUGACGGAGCAACGCCGCGUGAGUGAUGAAGG